AUUGAACGCUGGCGGCAUGCCUUACACAUGCAAGUCGAACGGCAGCACGGGUGCUUGCACCUGGUGGCGAGUGGCGAACGGGUGAGUAAUACAUCGGAACAUGUCCCGUAGUGGGGGAUAGCCCGGCGAAAGCCGGAUUAAUACCGCAUACGAACUACGGAUGAAAGCGGGGGACCUUCGGGCUUCGCGCUUUAGGGUUGGCCGAUGGCUGAUUAGCUAGUUGGUGGGGUAAAGGCCUACCAAGGCGACGAUCAGUAGCUGGUCUGAGAGGACGACCAGCCACACUGGAACUGAGACACGGCCCAGACUCCUACGGGAGGCAGCAGUGGGGAAUUUUGGACAAUGGGCGAAAGCCUGAUCCAGCAAUGCCGCGUGUGUGAAGAAGGCCUUCGGGUUGUAAAGCACUUUUGUCCGGAAAGAAAUCCUUGGCCCUAAUACGGUCGGGGGAUGACGGUACCGGAAGAAUAAGCACCGGCUAACUACGUG
rnacentral:rRNA from 1 species